rnacentral:rRNA from 1 species
CCCGCACAAGCAGCGGAGCGUGUGGUUUAAUUCGAUGCAACACGAAAAACCUCACCAAGAUUUGACAUGUCGGAAGUAGUGAACCGAAAGGUUAAUUAACUGUUAAGCCAGUAGCCGUCACAGGUGCUGCAUGGCUGUCGUCAGCUCGUGCCGUGAGGUGUAUGGUUAAGUCCUGCAACGAGCGCAACCCUCGUGGUUAGUUGUUUUCUCUAACCAGACUGCCUCGCAAAAACGGGGAGGAAGGUGGGGAUGACGUCAAGUCAGCAUGGCCUUUAUAUCUUGGGCUACACACACGCUACAAUGGGUGGCACAAUAGGUUGCAACAGUGCGAACUGAAGCUAAUCCCCAAAGCCAUCCUCAGUACAGAUUGCAGGCUGAAACCCGCCUGCAUGAAGUCGGAGUUGCUAGUAACCGCAAAUCAGCAUGUUGCGGUGAAUACGUUCUCGGGCCUU